UUGAAAAGUUGUGAUUAGAUGAUGCGGCGACACAGGGUAAUGCCAUCACCAAUGGGAAGUUGACAAAUCUCAAUCCUAGAGUCAAGGGCUAAGGCCUUGUUGAGCUCCCACACAAAAACACGAUAAUGCUUGAUGUAAUCCGGCUGAGGUACUUCUGGUGGGUCCGCAACAGAGCCGUUCCAUAGGGUGUUGUCGUAGCCGAUCAGUCCCCCAACCUUCACCAACUCAAUGGCCCUCCUGUGGUAGUUCAGGUAAUUUUCCUUAUCCGCGUCCACAAAUAUGAAAUCGAAGGCCCCCUUGUUCUUUUCCUGCAAAUUAAUGAUCGUCGCAAGAUACUAAUAAAUUUGA